rnacentral:piRNA from 1 species
UGACAACCUAGGGAAGGUUUGAGGUUGGA